rnacentral:tRNA from 1 species
GAGGGUACAGCUCAGUGGCAGAGUGUGGGCUUAGCAAGCAUGCAAGCACGAGGUCCUGGGUUCAAUCCCCAGUACCGCCA